AGUGAAUAGAUACCCUGGUAGUCCACGCCCUAAACUAUGUCAACUAGGUGUUGGGUGGGUAAAACCAUUUAGUACCGUAGCUAAACGCGUGAAAGUUGACCGCCUGGGGAGUACGGCCGCAAGGUUAAAACUCAAAGGAAUUGACGGGGACCCGCACAAGCGGUGGAUGAUGUGGAUUAAUUCGAUGCAACGCGAAAAACCUUACCUACCCUUGACAUGCCAGGAACUUGCCAGAGAUGGCUUGGUGCCCGAAAGGGAGCCUGGACACAGGUGCUGCAUGGCUGUCGUCAGCUCGUGUCGUGAGAUGUUGGGUUAAGUCCCGCAACGAGCGCAACCCUUGUCGUUAAUUGCCAUCAUUUGGUUGGGCACUUUAACGAGACUGCCGGUGACAAACCGGAGGAAGGUGGGGAUGACGUCAAGUCCUCAUGGCCCUUAUGGGUAGGGCUUCACACGUCAUACAAUGGUCGGUACAGAGGGUUGCCAAGCCGCGAGGCGGAGCCAAUCCCAGAAAGCCGAUCGUAGUCCGGAUUGCAGGCUGCAACUCGCCU
rnacentral:rRNA from 1 species